UACAGAGGGGGCAAGCGUUGUUCGGAAUUACUGGGCGUAAAGGGCGCGUAGGCGGCCUGUUAACUCGAACGUGAAAUCCCUGGGCUCAACCCAGGAACUGCGUCCGAUACUGGCAGGCUUGAAUCCGGGAGAGGGAUGUGGAAUUCCAGGUGUAGCGGUGAAAUGCGUAGAUAUCUGGAGGAACACCGGUGGCGAAGGCGGCAUCCUGGACCGGUAUUGACGCUGAGGCGCGAAAGCCAGGGGAGCAAACGGG
rnacentral:rRNA from 1 species